rnacentral:rRNA from 1 species
UCCUACGGGGGGCAGCAGUGAGGAAUAUUGGUCAAUGGGCGCAAGCCUGAACCAGCCAAGUCGCGUGAGGGAAGACGGCCCUACGGGUUGUAAACCUCUUUUGCCGGGGAGCAAGCCUGAGCACGUGUGCCCAGGCGGAGAGUACCCGGAGAAAAAGCAUCGGCUAACUCCGUGCCAGCAGCCGCGGUAAUACGGAGGAUGCGAGCGUUAUCCGGAUUUACUGGGUGUAAAGGGAGCGUAGACGGCAGGGCAAGUCUGGAGUGAAAGCCCGGGGCCCAACCCCGGGACUGCUUUGGAAACUGCCA